UGGAUCCAAACACAGCAAACACUCGUCUGACUCUGUCUGAGAGGAACAGAAAGGUGACACAUGUGACAGAGAAGCAGCCGUAUCCUGAUCAUCCAGAGAGAUUUGAUAAAUGUCGUCAGGUUUUAUGCCAAGAGAGUCUGUCUGGAUGCUGCUACCGGGAGGCUGAAUGGCUUGGUUUGCAGUUAAUAUAUCAGUGACAUACAAAGGAAUCAGCAGGAAAGGAGACAGUGAUGAACACUGGUUUGGAUUCAGUGAAAAAUCCUGGAGUCUGGCCUGUAGCAAUAGCAGAUUCACUGCCAGUCACAAUAAUAAAAGCACAGACAUACCUGUCCCUUCAAGCUCUAACAGAAUAGGAGUGUAUCUGAACUGGUCGGCUGGUGUUCUGUCCUUCUACAGCGUCUCUGACACAAACACACUCACACACUUACACACAUUCAACAGCAGAUUCACUGAACCCCUCUAUGCUGGAUUUGGAGUUUAUUCUGAUAGUUCAUUGUCCCUGUGUGAGAUUAAAUAGUCUCCAGUGAGAAGCAAUUGCGACAACACUUGAGUGAAAAGAUGCUAACAUUUUUAAAAGUGUUUUUGUACUUUUUGGUUAUUGUAACGUGACGAGCUAUAGGUAUAUGCUUAUCCAUAAUGUCUUUUUAAAUACAUAACAACAGAAACUAUAAUCACAUGUGCUGUGAUGUUUUAUGCACUAAAAUUCAUAUUUCAUGUGUUAUUUCAUAUAAAGUUUGCCACACACAAUCAGACUUUUCACAUCUGACACCCUAAACAAUGAGUUGUACACUCUAAAAAGUGCUGGGUUAUUUCUUUAAACACAUUGCUGGGUUAAUUGUGCUAAGUCAAAAUUCUUGGUUGUUUGAGGUACUGUAAACACACAGUUGGGUUGAUCAUGCUGGGUCAAAUGGACUUUCACCACUGAACACGCGGGUUGGGUUAUUUCAACCCAACCGGUUUGUUUAUUUUUCCACUUCAUCGAACUUUCUGGAUUCUUCACUCGUCUCCUCGUCAGGCGGUCACAAAAUUCGCAGCAAGCAGGAUUAUACGAUAUGUGAGAUUCUUGCUGGUGCAGAUGGACAGAUUUGUAAUAGAGAAGUUGAAGGAAAGGCAGCUUGAUACCCUGGUUAAAACCUUUGAAGAUUUCACAAGACUUCAGGAAGCUACAUCCAGAGGCAGACUUUUUGUAGACUGGGCUACAAUUGCAGACCAAAUUGUUGCCUAUGCCCAGCAAGAUGGAAAGGUGCAUUAAGAGCAGGGUGACAUGACUUCAGAUGCUAAAGGGGAGAGUGCUUUCAAAGUCCUGCCUAUUCUGGAGGAAGGGUCCACAGAACCACAACCACAGAAUUCUGGAAGUCAUUCACUGACAUACAAACCUGCCUAAGGGUCUUCAAGACCCUUCAAGUGUCAUAUAAUUAACAGUUGAGGACCAGUGUCACAAAUGUCCCAUUGUCCACUAACCACCAGAUGUCACUCUCGCAUCACUUACACACUCUGACUGUCACUAUGCAUCUCGGACUGCAUCUCCCAUCCUCCACCGCUCUGAUUGCGUCAGUCCCCGUGACCAAUCAGGCGUCCUAUAAAGACCCCGCUCCUCCUCAGUGCACUUCACGGUUGGUUGUAUUAUUGUAUUGUUGUUUUGUUAGUAUUUCCUAGUGUAUUCCUAGUUUCUGGUUUUUGGAUCUCCCGCCUGGUUUCCCGUUCUCUUCUGUCUAGCCGCCUGCCUUUUGGACUAUAGCUCUCGUUUAUUGGACCAUUCUCUUCUACUGCCUGUAUUAUUCCUGUCUGCUCCUGCCUCGACCUUGCCUGUACGACUAUGUCUUUGUCCCGCCAAUCCAAUAAAAGCUUGCGCAUGGAUCCGCUCGCCUCUCGUCUCGUUCUCCCCGUAACAACCAGCAUGGUGGAUUUGUGCCUUGGGGACAAGACAACGACAUCCCAGACCUUCGCCAUUGUUAUGGGCCGCGCCACUGAAGCAGACUCAUUGCCUGGGAAUUUCUCCAGCUUGCAGUAUAUUAUAUUGAUGGACAUAAGUCUUCAUGUGUGAUUUUUUUUUUUUUUUUUAAGGCCAACAGUGUUUUCUGGCCACUUGUAACAUGUUUUAAAUUGUCAUAUGUAUUGUCUGGUGGACACUUUGUUUGGCUUAGUUUCAAUAGCACAAUGUUUGGAAUGAUUCUCAUGUGGUAAUCAUAAAUUUUUGAGUGUUCUUCUGCUGCAAUGUUGACAAAGAAUCAGAAUCUGCAGUGCCUAGUUUACACAGUUUUGUGUUUUAAAGUAACUGAUCUACUAAAAUUGUUGUUUUAUGUGUCUGUAAUGGUUGGAUAAAAUGUGUGACAGCUGCACCCAUUUGAAAAUUGUUUUAAAAAUA